rnacentral:rRNA from 1 species
GUGCCAGCAGCCGCGGUAAUACGUAGGGGGCAAGCGUUGUCCGUAUUUAUUGGGCGUAAAGAGCGCGUAGGCGGUUAGGUAGGUCCGUUGUGAAAACUCGAGGCUCAACCUCGAGACGCCGAUGGAAACCAUCUGACUAGAGUCCGGAAGAGGAGAGUGGAAUUCCCGGUGUAGCGGUGAAAUGCGCAGAUAUCGGGAGGAACACCGGUGGCGAAGGCGGUUCUCUGGGCCUUACCUGACACUGAGACACGAAGGCCAGGGGAGCAAACGGGAUUAGAUACCCCAGUAGUCC